rnacentral:rRNA from 1 species
GAAUUUUGGACAAUGGGCGAAAGCCUGAUCCAGCAAUGCCGCGUGCAGGAGGGAGGCCUUCGGGUUGUAAACUGCGUUUGUACGGAACGAAAGGCUUUGGGUUAAUACCCUGGAGUCAUGACGGUACCGUACGAAUAAGCAGCGGCGAACUAAGUGCCAGCAGCCGCGGUAAUACGUAGGGUGCAAGCGUUACUCGGAGUUACUGGGCGUAACGCGUGCGCAGGCGGUUUUGUAAGACAGAGGUGCAAUCCCCGGGCUCAACCUGGGAACUGCCUUUGUGACUGCAAGGCUAGAGUACGGCAGAGGGGGGUGGAAUUCCGCGUGUAGCAGUGAAAUGCGUAGAUAUGCGGAGGAACACCGAUGGCGAAGGCAACCCCCUGGGCCUGUACUGACGCUCAUGCACGAAAGCGUGGGGAGCAAAC